UUUAAAAAACUGAGCUAACCCCAAGUGGGCUGAAGCUUACUGAAUAUUUUGACUAUCAUUUUGCCCCCAAACUGUGCCUCCACAAGCAUCUUGUUUCCCGAUAUGAAACAUGUUGAAAUAUUUACCAGGCUGUUGUUGUUAGCCACACAACUGUGUUGUCACUCAGCCAGGUUGUGUCUUGGUGAAUAAUGGAUGUUGUGUGCUUGUUGCUGGCUGCUCAUCUGCUGCACAGAGCUGUGAUGUGUAGUUACUUUAAUCCGCUUAAUGCUUAUUGAGCCUUACUUAACGCAGCUCUUACAGCUGAAUGUUACAGAUGCAUUUAAAACAACAAAGGGCCAUCGCUUGGUGUAUCCUGGUCUGGACCCUUGGGUAUUGUUUUGUGUCUAACAUAUUGGAUUUAAAGGUUGCUUGUGUGGAUGCAAGAAUCAGCUUGUAGUGAAGGUAGCCUGCAGACCUGUGGACUGGAAGACCCCGGGGUUGCACUGGCAAUAGCGUGACGCAAAGGCCUCCAUCAUGCGGUCGAUCUUCUGAGCUUCACCCGGCAAACGGAAACUCCACAGGAACUGCCUUUUGGUUGAGCUGACCGUAGCGCCUGGACGAGGUUGAGGUCUGCAAACUCAUGCAGCUCCACAAAAGCCUGGAGCACCUUGAUGUUAAAGUCAUCCCUGGUGAACAAAAGGACGUCAGCAACAAGAAGAUAGUCCACAUGAAACCAAGUAAACAGGUGUUGAAACGGGCCUUGUGUCUUUCCUCAGCAUUCCUGUCAUGAUUGCUAAUUUAUUCACACAAGAUGCUGAGAGGUGGCGUCUGGAAGCAGCUGGCUAGUGCUGAGCGUUUCCAGCCCCUUGAGGCAUUAGUGCAUGCGUCUGACUGGAGAAAAACAUCUAAACCCAAAACCACACACUCACUUUGGUUUGUUGGGUUGAAACCUGUCCUCUAGGUCCACCAUCCACCAUCGUGACCCAAACAUUUUUGUCUUACAAGCGAAGUUCUGAUACAAUAACACACUGCGGGUCUUUGUUGCUCAUAAAAAUGGCUGCAGCCAAAUAAAACGAACCCUUCCCUUUGAGGGUUUCUGCAGAAAAAAACUGUACUGUAAGCCCAAAGAACCAUGCAUAAUGGUAACAGUGAUGAUGCAUGUGUGAUGACCCACCACUAGGGGUGUCACAAGCUCUCACGAGAUUUUUCAUUCGGAAAAAAACUGCCUUGUGGGCACUAGGCCCGGGACGAUAAUGAAUACAUGAAUUAAUCACACAACAAAUGAAAAUGAACUUGAUAUUUUUGCCCCAAUAUAUUGCCAUGUGCAUGUGUGUCUGCUUUCCUCGUCUCUCUCGCCUCCAAACAGGCAGGAAGAGGAUUCACUGGUGGUUUCAGCAAAUUGGUGCGUUUGCUCCAUAGAACAACGGCAUGAAUGGAGUAGUCCCCGAUGACGGUCUUGUUGAGACCCUCGCCUUUAUAGAGGAACUGGGCGAUGUCUUCUGGAGUGUGCUGAAGGAGGUCGUUCUCCAGCAGGAACUGGAUGCCCUAGAGGGCAGGAAAAGGAAGGGGCAGCAGCUUAAGCAGGGAAGCCAAGACUUCACUCUCUCCGACUAUGUCGUCCAGCUCCUCCUGGUGGAUCCCGAGGCAUUGCCAGGCCAGUUGAGAGACAUAGUCCCUCAGCAUGUCCUGGGUCUUCCCCAAGUCCUCCUGAUGGUCGGACAUGCUCAUGGAGGUGUCCAGGAGGCAUCAUGACUAGGUGCCUGAGGUCUCUACCCAAACUCAUGACCAUAGACCGAUGCAGAGUCCGCAUCACUGCAGAUGCUGCACCAACCUGCCUGACGAUGUCGCGUUCCAUCCUUCCCUCACUCGUGAACAAGACCCCGAGGUACUUGAACUCCUCCACUUUGGGCAGGACUUCAUUCCCGACCCGGAGAUGGCACUCCACCCUUUUCUGGGCGAGAACCUUGGACUCGGACUUGGAGGUGCUGAUUCUAAUGUGAUAGAGAAGGUGAGAAACACUAUUGAAUUCGAUCUCACCAGGAUGUACGGGAAGUCCGCAUCAACAAUAAAUUCUAACCAUUGAUCAUUUAGAACUGUUUUCUGCAUGUAGAACUAAUUAUUCUGUAUAAAAUUUAUUUUAUUAAUACUUUUUGAUGUCUGGCAUGGAUUAAUUGGACUUAUUUCCUAUGGAAAAAAUGGCCUCGGUUUCUGUACUUUUUGGUUUUCGUUGGACCUUUUAUAACAAAUGAAUAACAACAACAUAGGUACUACUGUAAUAUAAUAAUUGCAGUAUAGCUUCUUAAGGGACAAUAAAAAUGAAACGAUCCUCACAGCCACAUCAAUUCAACAGGGAAUCAAACAGCACAACACUAUACAGUACAACGUGAAAGGCCGUCUUUGGGAUUACUCAUAGGGAGAUGAUGCACAAAGAACAGGCAACCCUGAGCGUCUCAUAUGCCCCAGGCCUUACAUUAGCUAAUGAGCUAAUGUCUGCUAGCUGCAUCAAUGUGCAUGAUUACAAUCUUUCC